rnacentral:rRNA from 1 species
ACGGAAGGCAGCAGUGGGGAAUAUUGCACAAUGGGGGAAACCCUGAUGCAGCAACGCCGCGUGAGUGAAGAAGUAUUUCGGUAUGUAAGGCUCUAUCAGCAGGGAAGAUAAUGACGGUACCUGACUAAGAAGCUCCGGCUAAAUACGUGCCAGCAGCCGCGGUAAUACGUAUGGAGCAAGCGUUAUCCGGAUUUACUGGGUGUAAAGGGUGCGUAGGUGGCAGGGCAAGUCAGAUGUGAAAGACCGGGGCUCAACUCCGGGGCUGCAUUUGAAACUGUCUUGCUGGAGUGCAGGAGAGGUAAGCGGAAUUCCUAGUGUAGCGGUGAAAUGCGUAGAUAUUAGGAGGAACACCGGUGGCGAAGGCGGCUUACUGGACUGAAACUGACACUGAGGCACGAAAGCGUGGGGAGCAAACAGGAUUAGAUACCCUGGUA